UUAAAAGGGUGCGCAGCCGGAUAAUAAGUCAGUAGUGAAAUCCUGCAGCUCAACUGUAGAACUGCUAUUGAUACUGUUAAUCUUGAGUAUAGUUGAGGUGGCCGGAAUGUAUGAUGUACCGGUGAAAUGCUUAGAUAUCAUACCAGAAACACCAAUUGCGAAGGCAGCUCACUAAACUGUAACUGACGCUGAGGCACGAAAGCGUGGGGAGCGAACAGGAUUAGAUACCCUNNGGUAGUCCAACGCNUGUAAACGAUGAUCACUCGCUGUUGGCAAUACAUCGUCAGUGGCUGAGCAAAAGCAUUAAGUGAUCCACCUGGGGAGUACGUCGGCAACGAUGGAAACUUCAAAGGAAUUGACGGGGGCCCGCACCCAAGCGGUGGAACAUGUGGUUUAAUUCGAUGAUACGCGAGGAACCUUACCUGGGCUUAAAUGCAGAACGACGGNNUUCCCGANNAAAGGNGAUCCUUCUUCGGACGGUCUGCAAGGUGCUGCAUGGUUGUCGUCAGCUCGUGCCGUGAGGUGUCGGGGUUAAGUCCCAUAACGAGCGCAACCCCUAUUGUUAGUUGCCAGCGAGUAAUGUCGGGGACUCUAACGAAACUGCCGGUGUAACCCGAGAGGAAGGUGGGGAUGACGUCAAAUCAGCACGGCCCUUAUGUCCAGGGCUACACACGUGUUACAAUGUCGGUACAGAGGAGUAUGCGACAAGUUGCAAUCUCGAAACCGUCUAGUUCGGAUUGAAUUGCAACUCGACUUCAUGAAGCUGGAAUCGUAGUAUCGCGCAUCA
rnacentral:rRNA from 1 species